CCUACGGGUGGCUGCAGUGAGGAAUAUUGGUCAAUGGGCGCGAGCCUGAACCAGCCAAGUCGCGUGAGGGAAGACGGUCCUAUGGAUUGUAAACCUCUUUUGUCAGGGAGCAAUUGGCGCUACGUGUAGCGUUAUCGAGAGUACCUGAAGAAAAAGCAUCGGCUAACUCCGUGCCAGCAGCCGCGGUAAUACGUAGGGGGCAAGCGUUAUCCGGAUUUACUGGGUGUAAAGGGAGCGUAGACGGCAUAGCAAGUCUGAAGUGAAAGCCCAAGGCUCAACCAUGGGACUGCUUUGGAAACUGUUAAGCUAGAGUGCUGGAGAGGUAAGCGGAAUUCCUAGUGUAGCGGUGAAAUGCGUAGAUAUUAGGAAGAACACCAGUGGCGAAGGCGGCUUACUGGACAGUAACUGACGUUGAGGCUCGAAAGCGUGGGGAGCAAACAGGAUUAGAUACCCCAGUAGUC
rnacentral:rRNA from 1 species